AAAGUCGUAACAAGGUCUCCAUUGGUGAACCAGCGGAGGGAUCAUUACCGAGUUUACAACUCCCAAACCCAAUGUGAACGUUACCAAACUGUUGCCUCGGCGGGGUCACGCCCCGGGUGCGUAAAAGCCCCGGAACCAGGCGCCCGCCGGAGGAACCAACCAAACUCUUUCUGUAGUCCCCUCGCGGACGUAUUUCUUACAGCUCUGAGCAAAAAUUCAAAAUGAAUCAAAACUUUCAACAACGGAUCUCUUGGUUCUG
rnacentral:misc_RNA from 1 species